rnacentral:lncRNA from 1 species
CCUGUUUUCAGAUUUAGCCUGGAGAGCUGCAAUAGAGUUGUGCCACUUCUGUAACGUUUUUUGUUAUUCCUUCAUAGGAUUUAAUGUGUCUUUGUGGGCUUCACUGUAUAGUGAAGGCUUAAAGCAUGGGUUUUGUGGAGAGCAGGAGACCAGAAAGUCAAGGAAAAGCAGAGGCUUAGGGAGAAAGUUGGAUGCAAUUACUCAAAAGGUUGAGAUUUAUAAAUAUAUAAAUAUGAGUAUGGGUGUGGUAAACUAUUGUACUGUAUAAGUGGCUGUAACUAUGGUAACAUGGGAAAAUGAGAAGUGGAAUCACAUAGCUGAUGAUAUUGCUCUUUAACUUGGAAAUCAACAUCAGUGUUUUGCUGGCUGUUAAAUCCAGUUUCAUCAACAGCUGGUGGAAAAGGGUCAGGCUUUUGCUGGAGGUGGACAGCAAAGGGAAAAAAACAAGUUCUUUGAAGGAAAGUAUUGAAAGGUGCUUUGGGCUGGGGGAGAACUCACAUUGCUGUUGGUUGCUCAGAGAGGUGGAAAAUCUACCGAUUUUCCAGGAGGGCUUCACAAAUUGACUUUGGGCAAGUGUACAAGGCAGCCUCCCUUGCAGUGGAGAGCUGAGCCAGAGGGAACUGAGAGGGCCCUUUCAGCCUAAGUUAUUCUUGCUGCAGUCAUUCUGGCAUUUUGUCCUCUUACUAGAGACGUUGUCCAUAAAUACUAAAAGGCAUGAGUAGUCCAACCUGAAUAUCUGGUGUUCAGGAUGGCUGGCUUUUCAUUUGUACGAUUGUACUGUUUCAUUAUCCUGCAGGUACUUAUAUCUAAAACAUCCAUGCUGUGCUGAAAGUUGGACUUGCUGUGGAAGAUAAUGACUGCUAUUUCACUGGAUGUAAGCUGAUUUGAAGAAUUGUUUCUUUAUUAGUUGUUUGGGAACUAAUGCUAAUGAGAGUCUCAGUUGCUGUCAUUUUCUCUUAGGGGGUAAAACAUUUUGUACUGUGUGAUUUAUUUUGAGAAUGGUGUAAUGAAUAACAGUACCUAAAAUGUUUUAUUUUAAACAAAAAAGAGAAUUAUUUUUUUAACAAGUGUUCUCUAAUACAGGGAUGUUUGCCAGAGGGAAGACCUUUAGAAUCAUGCUGGGUACUCAUAACAAUAUGAAUAAUAGUGUGACAUAGAUGAAAACUGUAAAUAAGCAGAUUUUUUUUUUUUUUGUAGGUAAUAUUUGGCUAUUUUCAGGUUCUACUUUUUAUUUCUUUGCAAGUUAAAGGUAUAGUCAGUUGUUUUUGUCUAGUAAAUUUAGUGAUGUAUGUAGUCUGCCUUGAAAGUAACAAGGAUUGCUGAAUAUGCACAGAACAAUUGGUCGUAGAGCUUACUGGGGUGGUAAGUGAACAUCUGGAAGACCCUGCCAAGGAUGAUUUGGCAAAUUAAUUAGUACUGUAGGCAUAGCACCAGACAUGUCCAGUGCAGCUUACUACUCAGGGUGAAUAUAUGAUUUCUGAAAGAACAAAUAAUGCUCUUUCUUUAUGUCAGUCACUUAAGUGUAUUUAAUAGUAUUGAAUGGUGAUGCAGAGUAGUACUCAUUUGCUGUAAAUUAAAUCUUUAGUAACUAUAGAAGAGUAUUAUUGUUGGUUUGUCUGUGAAUCUGACACAUUUUCCAGGUAAUGAUUAAACAGAAAUACUUCAUUAGAAUUUUCAGUGUGAUUUCUGAAGUCUAAAACAUAAAAUAAUAGUGCUUAAUGCCUGCCAUUAGCACAAACUCAGACACCUAUAUGCAGAGUCAGGGAACAAUCAGGUAGAUGUUCUGCCUCUAAACUGGGAAAUAAAAUGUGUUCUCUCUGGCUUUUCUGUGCCUGCCUGAGGAGUAAUCUGAGUACACCUUAUACAGGCAUAAAAUAAUAGGCUCUACCAAGUGCUGAAACUACUAUAGGGAGUGAUGAUUAUAGAGUAUCUACAUUUGUAUGUAGUAAGUCUGAAACACUGCAAUUUGCAUAGUGUUCUGAACAAGAAACCUUUGGCUGCUAGAUGCUGUGAAAAGUAGGAAAGGACAAACAUGGAGAUUUCUUGAUAUUGAGAACAAUCUGCUACUUAAUUUCAGACUAACUUUCCACUGAGGUCUGUUUCUGGAAGAAGUAAUGCGAGUAAGAUUUCCUUGAAAGAAAAGGAAAAUAUAAUUACCUUUAUUCAUUUAAUAACCUUUUUGUGAAUUUGGUAACUUUCAGCCUAUUCUGUGAGGAUUGUGUGAAUUUGAGGUCUGAAAUGAUUAAAUAUUUCUUUCAAGAUAGCACUGAAGAGUACACUUAGUGGUUUCAACCAAAUCCUGUAAUUGAACAUUUGACCAAAUUGAGGCUCUCUACAAUAUUCAGUUUAGAAGUGAAAAGUAUAUCCGGGCCGUAUGCCCCUAAAGACUUGUUUUUCUAUUGAAUUCCCUCAUUCCUUGGUUGGGCAUACUGUUAUACAGAACAACCUAAGUAUGAAAACGACCAGUUUUCUACGAAAUCAUGGUCAGUAUUUAUUUUUUGGUCAUGCUGUUUGUCGCGGCGCCUUUAUUUCCCAGACAUUUUUCUGUUUAUUUGCAAUGCUCGACAACCUUCAGCUUUACUUUGCCACGUGACAAUGUGUUUAGUCUUGGUUAAAGCAUCCUGUAAAGCAGACAGCACUUGAGUAUGCUUUUUUUUCUGCUUGACUCUUCACAACAUUUAAAUAUUUGCAACAUUUAUAUAUUUGUUACAGUUUUGCAAUUCUCUUUUUGGUCACUGGCUGCUUAUAUUUUCCCUUACAGGGUAUCUGGUGCGUAAAUCGUAUGUUCUCUUUCUCUUUACAGUAUUCUUAAUUUUGCUGUUAGUACAUUUCUGGCCCUGAAAUUGCUCAGCCUGUAAAGAUUUCCAUUUUCAGCAUAAGGUGAUUAUGUGAUGAUACUAGAGUGUGAGGUGGAAGUGAUUCCUCUACUCCAGAGGAAAAUGCAGCCUUGGGUAAGUUAUGUAGGUUAUUAUGCUCUUUUGUCUGUAAGUAGAGAAUUGUUUGCUAUUUGUUUCACUACUCCAAUCUGGUGAAAGAAGAAAGACUUGGGUGACCUUAGCAGGAAGGGGGUUAGCAUGACUCUCCAAAACUGAGUGGUUCUUGAUAUUAGAGACUAUAGCAUUUAAAUCAUUAACUUGUCGCCUUCAACUUAGGUGAAUCAACCGUUCCUUCUAAUAGAGAAGCAGGAGGGGGGGGGAAACAGUGAAAAGCUAUGGUAUUUGUCAAGUUUUAGUUUCAUAGGCAAAAUAUUUUGUAUUAAGUUCCAUCUUAGUGGUGUGUACAGUAUGAUGGAAGGUAAGCUAACCAUAGAGUAACUGCCCUUUAGCAAGAAGGUUAUUCUAGUCUUGUCACAAAUUAGGUCUGUGUCUCUUCUGCACGUUGCCUGGCUUGGAGAUUCCAUUCAAAUGGCAGAAUGGAUGUUUGGAAAACAUUAAAUGGUGGAUCUGGAGAGGAACUCAAUUUGUAUUUCAGGCAAGAACUCUCAGUGAGACACUAAAUACCUCUUUUCCCAUGCUACUGAAUCUAAACCAGGUAAACUAUUAAAGGUUCAUCUUUGUGCAUCUGUUUUAUUUUGUAAUCCUUUUUUGUUAUUUUUGCAGAUAAUUUGGUUAGUAAAGUUAUCUCUUGGUUACUACAACACCCCACGAUACUGAAUGUAACAUCAUUAUAGAUUCAACAAGCAAAAACAAAGGAACAACAAAAACUCAUCUCCACAGAAUGAAAUAUCUUCAGUAUCUUUUUUUAAACUCUGUACUGGUGUGACUAAACUAAUUCAUAGUUCUAGUUUGUGUAUUACUUGACAUUUACUUGUCAUUUAUGCUGUUGCAUUAAGAAAGCUGUUGAGUGUGAAAGAUGUGUGAGGCAAAACACUAGAGAGUAGAAAAGCUGAGUUAUUGCUGAUACUUCUUUGGUGCGCACUAUCUGAGGCCUGAGAAAAGCAAAUUAAGUCAGCUUAUACUUAAAGUAUAAGGGAUUUAGAUUUAUAUCUUCACUGAAGUUUAAUGGGGAAUAUGUUUAAAUCCCCUGACGUUCUUUUCCCAUGGUCCCAUAAUCUGCUUUGAGAGAGACUGACACAAAAAUAACUUCAAAUACUAGAAAAAUCAGAUGUUUUUCUAUUUGUUUUGUAAUGUCAAUAAAAUAAUAUUACUUGCAUUGAAUGCAGGUGCAAAUGAGACUUGAAAAUAUAGGACUUGUUGACAUACAGAAUAUUGAUUUGACUUCUCAAGGAAUUAAUUCCUUUUUGAAAAUUAGACUAAACUGAUUUACCUGUUUUCAUCAUUCAGUUACUAGGCAUCUUGGGGAUAGAUAUUAGAUCUUUUCAUGGUGCACUUCAGAGAUUGUAUAUUGCCAUGGCACAUUGUUAACUUCUAUGAUAUGAGCAAGAUUUGUGAGUCUUUAAUUAAAAAGCUACUUGAACUUCUUUCUUAGCAUCCUGUGGAUGAAGUUUCUGUCUCUAAAUACAUGCUUAAUCUUGUUAUUCAUUAAUUUUUGCAUGCUUUACUGUUCAGUGAUCAUUAUUAUAUUCAAGUGGACUUCUUUUUUUCACAAAAUAUGAUUAAUACCAAGUAAACCUAAGGGUAAAAUUAUUAUAGAUGCUUUAUGGUGCCAAGAGACUUGACAGUAAGAACUGUAACCUGAGUUUGCAAGGUAAGAAAAUUGUUUCAGACACCUAAGUACUUCUGAGUGAAACUCUGUAGCACUGAUAGGAGAUGCUGAAACCUGAACAAGGUACUUUUGUAAACAUCAGUGCUAGGUGUGUACCUGUAGAGCUGCAGAUGUCUCAGUAUCAAACUGUUUUCCAACUUAGCAGCCAUAGCUGGAAAACAUUCUUUGCUUAUGUGUCGGAUUUCUAGGCCUAUUCUAGCAUUUUUAUUAAUCUUUAAAGUGGAAAAACUUAGGAGAGUGGCUGAGUUCCUAAAGGUGGCUAAUCACUAAUCCAGUUAAGUUGUGAUGCUUUGCUUCAGUCUCAGGAUAGAGAAUGUAAAUGAGUAAACAAAGAGUCAUGACUGGCUCCAAGGUAAUUGUAAUGUAAUAAAAAGAGACACGGAAGAUUGUUGAAGCUAUGCUUUAUGCUUGGUUUACAUACUAAUUUUCAGAAGUAACCUUGGGAAGCAGAUCCUUUUUUUUAUCAGGGACGACUUUUUGAUAGAGUUCAUCUUAUAUAUCUUCUAAUGUCUUCUGGUAAAAAGAAAUAAAUAAAUAAAAUAGUAUCAAUAUAAAGAAAUGUGUAUGUGAAUAUAUAAUAAUUAUCUAUAAUAUAUACACCUUGAAAGAGUAAAAACAAUGUUUUCCCCAAGCAAGUGACUAGAUAGAGGGAUCAAUGCUUCUCUUGCUUGAGUAACUUCCCUAGGUGGCUCAUCUGUUGAUGUGAUGUACCUUCACAGUGGGGCCUUGCUCUCAUAUGGGAGCUGACUGCUUGCCUUUUCAUUAAGUUUUUUUUUUUUGUAUUUGGGUAUGGUGUUACAAGCAGUUAAUUGGGGAAAAAAUGUACUGAAAAGUUGGCUGUGGCCUAUCCAUACAUUCCUGUUUUUUUUUUUUUUUCUGUGGAUAAGACUUCUCUCUUUCUGGUUUUAUGAUUCAGCUGAAGAGCAUAUCUACCCAUAAGAGAAGAUCAAGGAGAUUUCAAUCAUAGUGGAG